CGAGGGAGCCGGCGUACAGCUUCUGGGUCAUGUGGCCAGCAUGACUAAGCCGCUUCUGGCAAACCAGAGCGGGGCACGUAAACACCAUUUACCUUCCCGCCAGAGCGGUACCUAUGUAUCUACUUGCACUUUGACGUGCUUUCGAACUGCUAGGUUGGCAGGAGCAGGGACCGAGCAACAGGAGCUCACCCCGUCGCGGGGAUUCGAACCACCAAACUUCUGAUUGGCAAGUCCUAGGCUCUGUGGUUUAGCCCACAGUGCCACCCGUGUCCCUACAAUUAUGCUAAACAACCAUUAAUGAGAAACACAAGACUUGGAAGAUGUGGGAACUGAGCUGGGCCCAACAAUCCCUUGGGCAAAACCAUCACCUUCCAUGAAUAUGUCAAUCCUUUGGGGUGCAAGAACCAGCCUUCAGAGACUGAGAAGCAGGUCGCCAGAGGCAUUUUGAAAAGGACACGGAACUGUCAGAAGAAAUAAAAGCUGGAUAAAUUAGCACUCUUAAAAGUUAAUUAUUACCCCAAUCCUCAUGGGCAAAAGCACAGGAUCCCAUCAAAGGAGCUUACUGAAGAUGGACUUCUUCUGCACACCCUAAUUUGACAAACCCAUAAGCUCGUUGCAGGCGUGGAGGAAUGGAUGGGUGAGGACCCCUAAGCUACAUUUAAACCCUGUCGAGACGGAGGCCUUGUGGGUGAGUGGCUCCUGCAUCCAAGAAACAGGAGAGUUACCUGCUCUAGAUGGGGCUUCACUCCCUUCUGAAUGAACAAGAAUGGAGUCCUGCCAUGCUCCUGGAUCCCUCUUUGUCACUGAAGGCACAGGUGCUGCUUCCAGUUUAGCAGUUGUGUUGAAUCGGGAACUCCUGUGCAGCCAUGCCUUUAAUGGAAAGUUACAUGUUGCAAAGGACGCCAGAUCGUCAUAAAUCAAACAGUACCAAACAAGCUCAUAAACCUUCUGGAGAUACAGACACAGAGGAAAGCCCAUUGCGGUGUUUUAAGAUAAUUUUAUCUCUAUAUGUAAAGCAAAUAGUUUACAGUGCAACUCUGAUUUUUCAUGGAACAAAGAGCAGACCUGCAACACCAACGAAUGCAAAAGUCAAGAUAAAUUCACAAGGAACAAACCACAUUGACACAAAAUAAAAAGAUGGGGUGCUCACAAAAGCAUCUCUGUGUGAAAGGGAAUGGGACAGAUCAGUGUCUGGUACAGUGUGAUACACUCAGCCAGACCCUUGCCAGAGCACUACCAAAUCACAUUUGAAAAAUCAAAGACAUUCCAGGGAAAGUAUGAACUUCAGUCUGCCAGUGGAGGUGGAAGGUGAGAUGAAUAGAUUAGUUUUGCCAAUGAGAAAGGAGUGAGAUAAAGGAUAUUUGUCCUUUAAAUUCUUCAUCUAUUUUCAUCUUCUAAAUAUUUAGAAUAAGCUCCAGAUAAAACCUAGAAUUUGCCAAUUCUCUCCAAGAUAGCCUACCCUAUCCUGUUUAGGAUAACCUAAAAUAUACAACACAUCUCUCAUUCUCUAUAAGUGAGCAAGAACUACCCAUAGUGAACAAAAACUGUGAUUCCAAACUGGUGGUGGCCCCUGGACCCUUUGAGAGCCU